GAUGAACGCUAGCUACAGGCUUAACACAUGCAAGUCGAGGGGCAGCAUGGUCUUAGCUUGCUAAGGCCGAUGGCGACCGGCGCACGGGUGAGUAACACGUAUCCAACCUGCCGUCUACUCUUGGACAGCCUUCUGAAAGGAAGAUUAAUACAAGAUGGCAUCAUGAGUCCGCAUGUUCACAUGAUUAAAGGUAUUCCGGUAGACGAUGGGGAUGCGUUCCAUUAGAUAGUAGGCGGGGUAACGGCCCACCUAGUCUUCGAUGGAUAGGGGUUCUGAGAGGAAGGUCCCCCACAUUGGAACUGAGACACGGUCCAAACUCCUACGGGAGGCAGCAGUGGGGAAUAUUGGUCAAUGGGCGAGAGCCUGAACCAGCCAAGUAGCGUGAAGGAUGACUGCCCUAUGGGUUGUAAACUUCUUUUAUAAGGAAUAAGUCGGGUAUGGAUACCCGUUUGCAUGUACUUUAUGAAUAAGGAUCGGCUAACUCCGUGCC
rnacentral:rRNA from 1 species